rnacentral:lncRNA from 1 species
UGCCUUGGCAGCUGCUCCUCACAGUCUGAUUUCUACACAGCAGCCAAAGUGAUAUUUUGAAAUAUAAGUCUAAUCUUGGCACUUCCCUGUGCCAAACUCUCCAGUGAAUUUCCAUCUUAGAACAAAACUUAGACUCAUUACUGUGGUCACCAAGGCCCAGAGAAUCUGGCAACCAACCUUUUCCUCCAGACUCCUUACUCGCCUGGUCACUGGCUCUGUCCAGCACGAUCUACCCUUUAUUUUGCUUCGUAAUUCUCAUGGCUACCCGAAAUUAUCUGGUUUUUGUCUUCCAUCCCCACUCGAAUAUAAGCUCCGUGGGCCAGGGACUUGAUCAUUUAUUCAUUGCUGUAUCCCCAGGAUCCCAGGAUCUAGAAAAGUGUCUGGCACAUAGCAGAUGUUCAAUUAUUAUUUGUUGGGUGUGUGAAAUGGGGAGCACAUAGCAAGGAUGCCUAACCCAGUCAGAGGUGUCAGGAAGAUGAUUCUGAUGGCACUGAUAUUAAGUCUAAGGCCUCAAUGAUGAAAAGGAGUAAUUGUUCUUCUUCUUAGUUUUUUUNNNNNNNNNNNNNNNNNNGGAGAAGAAGAAAGUACUUGCAUGGCCAAAGGGAGAGCAGAGGUGAGAUGAAAUAUGGCCUAUUGGAGGAAUGCGGUUGGAGCAUAAGGUGCAAAUGGACAGCUGCCCUCUCUGGAGUUCCGCUGUCUUUUAGAAGUGCUGUGCAAAGGGGACUGAGGAGCGCAUCUGUGGCCACCUCAGGCGCCCCUCGUGGCCCGCCAGCAGGCCUAGGUGUUGGAGGGGACGCCCCUAGGGCAGUGGUCUUCAGUCGCCCCCUAGGGGGCAUUCUGAAAACUAGUGCCUUUUGUGGGGACCACCAUCAGGAGGCAGUAUGAGGACCUGGAGGCGCCAGGACUGGAAAGGCAGACAUUCCAGAAUGCGCGUUAUGUCCCACCCAAGGAAAAAUCAUCUCUCAUUCUACUCGACUUUGGAAUGUUUUGCUCAACAACAUAUUCAAAGUAAAAAUCAAACUUAAGCCUUUAAAUUUAAGCAGGACUUUAUUAUGUAAUAAUAAAGGAAAGUUUUACCUGAAGUUUUUUUGGGGA